UCCGGAGGGUGCAAUCGUUGUUCGGAAUCACUGGGCGUAAAGCGCGUGUAGGCGGCCUCUUAAGUCUGGUGUGAAAGCCCGGGGCUCACCCCCGGAAGGGCACUGGAUACUGGGAGGCUAGAGUACCGGAGAGGAGGGUGGAAUUCCUGGUGUAGCGGUGAAAUGCGUAGAUAUCAGGAGGAACACCGGUGGCGAAGGCGGCCCGCUGGACGGCUACUGACGCUGAGACGCGAAAGCGUGGGGAGAAAACAGG
rnacentral:rRNA from 1 species